AACAAAGGGACACUUCAACUUGCAGAGUGUCUAAACCUGUACGUUUGGGGAAUAACGGCUCUGAAAAUAGAAGCCAAACCAGUGAAGCAGGAAGCUCUUCACAACAGCCAGUAUCAGAUUACACAAACACAAUAAGAAAGAAAUGGACACAAGAUGAGGUUAAAGCAGUGGAAGACAUGUUGAUGGACUACAUCACAUCUGGCAGGGUUCCAGGUAAGACAGUGUGAAGAAUGUAUUAGGUCAACUCCGGAAGCUCUCAGAGAUAGAACCUGGGAAGACAUUACAUUUUAUGUCAAGAACCAGAUUGUGGCGCUUCAACGGGAGUGUAAGGAAGGAUGAAAAGAUGAAGUGGAUUUGAGGACUGAAUCAAUCAGAUUUUUUACAGUGAUAAUUAUCUCCUCGUUUUUUGUCCUUCCAAAGGUAUCUAAAGGGGAGUUUUUACUGGCUUUUUAUAUAUAUUUACAAUAAUAUUUGACCUCCCAGGAUUUUUUUCUCCAUUUACAUAGAUAAAUAUUACAAAAGGGGAGAUUUUUUUUACUGUUAACAGUGUUAAAGGUAGUUUCAUUAACGGAGAUAAUUGUUCGUCCGUUUUUUUUUUUUUUUACCUAUUCACAGUAAUACAUGUUUGAAAAAGGCAGGUUCUGUUUACUAUUUACGGUGUUAAUUGUCAUUCCAAAUGUGUCAAGGGGGGGAUUUUUUCGUUGGUUUUUUUUUUUUUUUUUGCUUUUUACAGUGUUAAAUGUUUUUUUAUGUUUAUACUGAUAGUCAACCUCCCAAAUGUGUCAAAAGGGGAAAAAAAGUUUGUUUGUAUAACAUCACCUGCUGAAUGAAUACAAAUGAUUAUUAACUUUUGUGGCCCUGUGUUAACGGCAUCUUCUGCCUUUCAUUCACUAUUAAUUGUUUCUAUUACUAUUGUUACCAUAAUCUUUUGCUUGAUUCUUUUUCAACCACUUUAUGUGACAUCACUGUAUAAUCACAUCAUCACUAGAAUUUAAAUGUCAUUUGAA